UUUGGAAUCUUGAAAGAAUCCUUCAAGAUCGUAUUUUCAUGCAGAAAAACCUUUAGCCAGAUAACCCUAAUUCUUAUUCUUGCUCUCUCCUUAAUCGCUCCAAUCCAGCUCUUUGAUCUCCUUAUUUUAUCAAAACACAGCUCAGAUUGCCCAAAUGGUUCCUCUCAAUCCUCUGUUUCCCUUGCAUGCACCCAAGAGAAGUGCCAUACACAAACUGAUUUCUCUGAUCUCCUUAAAUGCAUAGAGCCCUCCCUGUCCCAUAAGAUCAUCUCCUCUCUCUUAGAUUUCAUCUCCUCCACUCUCCUUCUAAUCGUUACAGUUUUCACUACUUCUGCAGUUGCUUAUGCUGUUGCAGGCAUACAAAUUUCGGAGUCAAUCACCUUCAAGAAGGUGAAGACUGCAGUGCCAAAUGUUUGGAAGAGACUUAAGCUCACUAAUAAGUGCAGUUCUGCCAUUAUUUCCUUGUAUAAUAUGAUCUUUGCAGCAGGAGUAAUCCUCUUGUUGGUGGUCAAUAAUCAUGUAGAACACUAUAAUUAUAAGGCAUCAUCUGCGAUUCUAGCGAUUCUUGCGCUUCUCUCGAUUUUAUUUUGUAUUGGGUUAUUUUAUAUUGCCAUUUUUUCGCAUUUGGCUACUGUGGUUUCUGUUUUAGAGGAAAUUUAUGGGAUGAAAGCUAUGGCCAAGAGCAAGAAGUUGAUAAAGGGCAAGAUUGGAGUUACUGUUGCUCUUCUUAUUAUGUGGGGAAUUUGUUUUUUUAUAAUUGUAAUCCUUCUUGGGGUAUAUGUGCUAAAGGAUGGGGUGUUGGCACUUGCACUUAGAAUUGGAAUUGGAAUCCUUUGCUUCUUGCUGAUGUCGGUGCUGAUAAUAUUUGGGCUUGUAAAUCAAACAGUUCUCUACUUUGUGUGCAAAUCCCAUCAUCAGGAGAACAUUGACAUGUCCUCUUUAGCGGCCCACCUUGAGACUUAUCUUGAAGAGGGCACUUCAGAAGCAGCUGAUUACGCAAUGGAGCAAAUUCAAAGCGUAAUAACUAAUUAGAACUUUUUUCUAUCAAUUUCUGCAUAGAGAUACGCACUAUAGGUCAUACAAACUAUUGACAACCUAUAGUGCGUAUCUCUAUGCAGAAAUUGAUAGAAAAAA
rnacentral:misc_RNA from 1 species